rnacentral:lncRNA from 1 species
CCCACAAGAUGGUGACUCUUUUGAGCAGACCAAUCUUGAACUUCGUUUCUUCAUUUUUUUUUAGUCUUAAUUGGAUCAAAUCACUCGUUGGAGCUUAAUGGACUCUGAUACCAUGUUAAGAUUUGGGGUUCCAUCUCAAAAGGUCAACCUUAUUAAGAGGAAAAGUCCAAACCUUUAUAAAUUGGUUUAUAUUUUCAUCCUUAUUCGAUGUGGGAUUAUAUCCCUUUAACACAAGUCACAGGAAAUCCAUGAAGGUCUCUGCUUGUAGAACGCCCAUCAUAAUUAAUUGGACGAACGUGCUGUAUUGAUUUGUUCACAAUCAAUGUGAUGAAAGUAACUGGCAAUUAACUAGCACUACAAUUAGAACUGUGCAUCUAUUAUGAUUGUGUUCAACACAUACCUCAAACUUUAUACUGGUUUUGCUACUCCAGUUGGUACUUGCAGGCUCGCUCGAUGUAGUCCAGCAGAAAAGAAACACAAAUUCGCAUCUGUUGCGGAAGCUCUCUCAAAAGGAUCUUCAAACGGUGAUUUUCCAGGCUCAGUCCAACAUACCUUUCUCAACCAACAACCAGUCCAAUCGGCUCCAAACCACAACCAAUUGAUUCACCUUAGUUGCUAUACAAUCUUAUCCACGUAGGACAAGAAGGGAUGAUGAUUUAUGGCCACAAAGGCUAGGAGAAGACACCACAAAAGUAUACUAUGAAAGAACCACCAAUUGCACACAUUAUACCAGCGUUCUGGACACUUCUGGACACCUUUUUCUCACACAAAAGGGGGACAGCCGGGAUUCUCUUGUUUCUUCUCUCAAAAUCACACAAUCAUCAUAUCAAAGUGGCUAGGGUUAUAACCAAAUAUAUACUCUAGGGUUAGGCUUUAAGUUGGGCCAUUAAAGGGGUAAACGGGCCAAGAUUCAAGCCAUCCAUAAGGAAUACAAUUGGGCCGGGUGUAGCUCAUGGACUUGGUUGUUGGACUUAUUUCAUUCAUCGGCCUAUGCCUAUAAAAUAAUAUUAACCCACGUUAACAUCAUAGCCCGGGAUUUAUUGGGUAUCAAAAACCCAACAACAUCUCCACUUCCUGAACGAGAGAAGCUGUCCACAGGUAUGCCAUGGAUCCUAAUCUCAGGAGAAAUAGAGUGCUGGUAAUUAAAGUGUAUUUUCAAUAAAAUUUAAUCCUUGCUACCAAAUGACUUUCCACAAUGAAACUGAUUUUUGAAUGUCAUAAAAAAUUUGGUUUCAACACUUUAGUUCAAUAAUCCAGCAGAUCCUAGCAAAAGUCAUAUUCAAGGAGAUUAGGUGAUGUGGGCAUCUAUUGCAAGAAGAAAGUGAUUACCCAAGAAAUUAAUUAGUCACAGAGUUGUGGAAAAAUGUCACUCAACGUAUCUGAAUCAACCUAGUUAACAUAUCUGGAGUUAGAUUCAAGUGUAAUCGUUAAGAUCAUCGACAGCAGAGCUACCCUAAAUACAAACUUUCCAAAAAUUAUUUAUCUUCAUUUUUACAAUAUCUAAUUGAGC